UGCGGCCUACUCCGGUUGAUCCUGCCGGACCCGACCGCUAUCGGGGUGAGACUAAGCCAUGCGAGCCGAACGCCUCCAGGCCAGGGUGGAGGCGUGGCGCACGGCUGAGUAACACGUGGCUAACUUACCCUUAGGACGGGGAUAACCCCGGGAAACUGGGGCUAAUCCCCGAU
rnacentral:rRNA from 1 species